rnacentral:rRNA from 1 species
UUAAGUAGACCGCCUGGGGAGUACGGCCGCAAGGUUAAAACUCAAAUGAAUUGACGGGGGCCCGCACAAGCGGUGGAGCAUGUGGUUUAAUUCGAUGCAACGCGAAGAACCUUACCUGGUCUUGACAUCCACAGAAGAAUCCAGAGAUGGAUUUGUGCCUUCGGGAACUGUGAGACAGGUGCUGCAUGGCUGUCGUCAGCUCGUGUUGUGAAAUGUUGGGUUAAGUCCCGCAACGAGCGCAACCCUUAUCCUUUGUUGCCAGCGGUCCGGCCGGGAACUCAAAGGAGACUGCCAGUGAUAAACUGGAGGAAGGUGGGGAUGACGUCAAGUCAUCAUGGCCCUUACGACCAGGGCUACACACGUGCUACAAUGGCGCAUACAAAGAGAAGCGACCUCGCGAGAGCAAGCG